CACAGUGUCGUGCAGAGCGGCUGUUAGAUCACACUAUAUAGAGGCGUCAGCGCGUGCAUCAUCGUGGCCUAGCAACCAGAAGAGGAGAUCGUCCCGGCUCGCGCAAGCGUCAGGCUCCCAUUCAUAAGCCUCCCUGAACGUACGUCGCCCAUUUCGUUAGCUGUGAACAACUGACAGCACCUCGCCAGCGACCGAGUCACUCCUCCGAGUUUGGAGAGUGAACAACAAUCGACAAUAUCUGCAGAAAGCACAGGCAACAACAAAUCCCUCGGAAAUGCGAAUACACGGUUCGUUUUGCGGCAAAACACUCCAAGGAGGAAGCAAAGCUGUCCGUGCUUCUGUACCGAAGACCGUCAACGUGUGCACUCGGGAUGUGUGGGAUAAUUUCCAGCAACUGUGUACAGUUGCAUGCAGACGCCACCAAAGGAAAGUUUCAACAAUGUUUUCGGGGACCUUGGGGCAUGACGCUUUGGGCCGGCUGCACCAUCGAGUGAUUGCCAUAGGCAAUAUAUUUACGGCUCCCGCGACAGCGAGGAACGUUUCCGCGUACCGGAGCAGAGCCGCAGGAAGUAACGAAGGUUAAGACUCCCGCUGAUUUUUUUUCUUCGUGACGGACGAUGAGCGCGCACCAGAGGGGCAGACACAAAAGGAAGUCAGCCGCCACUUGGCUUUCGCGUCCCCCGUUAACCCCGGGGCCAACUGCUGUACGUCUUCCUGUCCUCUGUGCCCCAGCGACAGCGAAGAACAGCAGGCCGGUCAGGAAGAAAAACCUCGUGACACAGCUGAACAAAAUGAGAAAGUCAAUAAAUAUUGGCGUUAUUUGCGUCUCUGG